CAGAAAGGUCUUUUUGACCAGACAAUAUCUGAACAAUACAGAAUUGUCACCAAAUGAACAAGAGGAAGAAAAGGAAACCAUGACCUAAAAGUGGUCUUCUCCCUUUGAUUACCAACCAAAAUCCUGUGCGUCGGUGACUUGCUCGCCCCGCGCAAAACAAAAACAGAAAAGGAAAAGGGCAAAAACACGCAAAAGCCGAAAAAAC
rnacentral:lncRNA from 1 species